rnacentral:rRNA from 1 species
GAUGAACGCUGGCGGCGUGCUUAACACAUGCAAGUCGAACGGUGAACGAGGGAGCUUGCUCCCUCCGGAUCAGUGGCGAACGGGUGAGUAACACGUGAGCAAUCUGCCCUGGACUCUGGGAUAAGCGUUGGAAACGACGUCUAAUACCGGAUACGAGGCGUGGGGGCAUCCCCAACGCCUGGAAAGAACUUCGGUCCAGGAUGAGCUCGCGGCCUAUCAGGUAGUUGGUGGGGUAAUGGCUCACCAAGCCUACGAUGGGUAGCCGGGCUGAGAGGGUGACCGGCCACACUGGGACUUAGACACGGCCGAGACUCCUACGGGGGGCAGCAGUGGGGAAUAUUGCACAAUGGGCGAAAGCCUGAUGCAGCGACGCCGCGUGAGGGACGACGGCCUUCGGGUUGUAAACCUCUUUUAGCAGGGAAGAAGCGAAAGUGACGGUACCUGCAGAAAAAGCACCGGCUAACUACGUGCCAGCCGCCGCGGUAAUAC